rnacentral:rRNA from 1 species
GAUGAACGCUAGCGGCAGGCUUAACACAUGCAAGUCGAGGGGUAUAUAGGAGCUUGCUUUUAUAGAGACCGGCAAACGGGUGCGGAACACGUACGCAAUCUGCCCUUAUCUUGGGGAUAGCCCAUAGAAAUGUGGAUUAAUACCCAAUAGUAUAUUUGGAUGGCAUCAUUUAAAUAUUAAAGAACUUCGGAUAAGGAUGAGCGUGCGUAAGAUUAGCUAGAUGGUGAGGUAACGGCUCACCAUGGCAACGAUCUUUAGCUGAUGUGAGAGCAUGAUCAGCCACACGGGCACUGAGACACGGGCCCGACUCCUACGGGAGGCAGCAGUGAGGAAUAUUGGUCAAUGGACGGAAGUCUGAACCAGCCAUGCCGCGUGAAGGAUGAAGGCGUUCUGCGUUGUAAACUUCUUUUAUCAGGGAAGAAACCACAGAUUUCUAUUUGUGUUGACGGUACCUGAGGAAUAAGCACCGGCUAACUCCGUGCCAGCCGCCGCAGUAAUAC